ensembl:lncRNA
CUCGGUACACUCCACAUCGCUGGAUCUUGGCGUGGACCGAAAGUGGCGGGCUGAUGUGUCUGCUGCCACCGUCCUGCUGGACUUCUGUCUGUCCGGACUUCUGUGGAGUCCACAGCAUAGUGCUCUUACUCAGGCCCCCCACUUCCACUUGCCCUUUUUCUUCCCUCCUGUGCUAAUGCUUCUCCCUUUCUUAACCAGCACAAGUGCCUUGUCACAGGAUGUGUCUGUAAUCUAGCCAACCCAAACCCACUGUUACUCUGCAAGUCUACAUGAGGGCGAAAAACAGUUUUCUCUUAGGGUGACAGAUAUUAAAUGUGGAGCCCGGCCUGGCCUCAAGUGAACGUAGCUGUGUGGGACUAAGGGAAGAGGUCAAAACUAAGCCGUUUGUCCGCACGCUGCCCCGACUCACUCGGUUAUCUCUUUCUCAGUCUUGGCUGCUUGUCGUCUAAAUUGGAUUCUAAGACCGUUUUUGCUGUGUUCUGUCUGUCCAGCUGUGGUGGUUAUUAAUGUGGCCGCUGAGUGAUGGCAAGGGCAGUUGCAUAACCUGCUUCAUGACCCCAGUCACAAGACGGGCAAGCAAGUCCCCUCCCUCCUUUGAAUCUUUAAUGAAGUUGUCUUUUUAAGUUGUGAAAGUGAAUAAAUUUUAUUUAGAUAUGACUGAUUAUCAAAGUUUUGUAUUGUGAAGGAGUUAUAUAUAAUCUCACUAGCUGCAAAUGCAAUCCACUGUUCUUUGACAAUUUUGGAGGUGAUUUGUUUUCGCUGUCGGGACAAAACCCGUCUGCCCCGACUGUCUAUGAACGUGAACAUGACCUCCAGUUAAAGAACAGUCAUUCAUGAAAACUAGGGCUGUUCUGUCCAUGAAGUCAUUUUUUUUCUUUUACUGAUGUUGGUAUAAUGGUUAUGUUUUGAUGUUUAUUUAAAUAUAUAUUUAUAAAGAUGCGCUGUGGUGUAAGAAAUCAUUCUUAGAUAUUUGAAGUCCAUAUUUGACAGAAAACUGGGUGGAAAGGAUUCCUGAAUGGACGGUCGGAGUCGUGCUCAGCCGACCGCCGUCUCGCAGCUUAGUUUGACUGGUCGUCCUUGUUAAUCAGCGGGUCUGAUGCUGUUCAACAUCUGUCAGGGGGUAGAUUGUCACAAGGAGACAAGGGAAAGGGGGGCGAUUACAGUGAGGCAGAUGGCCAUCUGGCCCACUGUAAUCACCCCGAGAUUGAAGAAUAGAUUUGUCUCCAAAAAGUAAUUUAGAAGAUGGCCGUAAUCCAGGCUUGAUGAUAGCAGAGAGAGUAAGCUGACGUCACUGAUGUGAUAAGGAAGACAGCGGUGCCGCUGUGCAAAGGGCUGUGCAGCAGCUUGUUGGCUACUUUUAGCCUCAAGAAGCAGCACCAAAAUAUCCUGUGCAAACAGAAGCGUAGAAAUGUUGGAAGUCUGUCCUAGAUGGUUUAAACCGUAGUCACUCAAUGUCCUGAAAACCCCCCUUUUUUUUUCUUUUCUUUUUUUUUAUAUAAAAAACCCCCAACAAACUACUGAAUGUCUGACCGGUGGAACGUACCCUUGGUAAUAUGUUCAGUCCACUUUUUUCCUAUUCAAGCAUCAAAAUAAAAGCGUGACUGCGUGGCACUCGUUCACACCGUUCGUCUUUACAGCUGGACUCCCGCAGGUGCAGCUUGUGAUUUAAUGUUAUUUUUGAAAUGAACACAAUUUAUGAUGCAGCCAAGCACAAUCAAGUUCUUCUUUCUUUAAAUGGUUGACUCUUAUGUGAAUAAAAGCUCUGUUUUACAUGAAUGUCGGUGAAGAAAAUGCUGCACCACUUGUUCGUCCCUUGAAUUCGAGCACUGAUGGCGUGUGAAUCCUCCUGUUUUUGUUUUUCUCUUCAUGAACUGUGAUUUAUGUCCAAUGAAUGAGACUUGUUGGUUUGUUUUCUUCGUCCUGCGCUGGGAUAAUUUUUUUCUUUCUUUCUUGUAUUUUUCUUCUGCCUCUAUUGGUCAGAUUGUGUUUAUGAUUUGGUGAAACAUCAGUACUUGAAAGUGUGAAACUGCUGAACCUCAGGCUGUGUGGAUGUUCGUCAGCUUUUUUGUUUUUUUGUAGUGCACUAAAUUUUUGCCAUCAGUGUUUAUCUUUUGUUUUUUGUUUCAGAUUGUAUAGUUUUUGAUUUUUAUUUGUUCUUGCUUUUUUUGUACCUUGACUUUUUUGUAAAUCUGUAAUUUUACCAAUGAUAAAAUUCAGGCUCUGAGUUGUACCAGCGCACACAGAGCUUUGCAGAAGUAAUGUGGUAUUUUCACUCUGCUCGUCAUCUUACACUUACUUGAACAUGAGUUCAAUGUGUGUGCAUUUCGGAGGUUUUUUGUUUGUUUGUUUGUUUUGUUAGUUUUUGUUUUUUCAUCCCCCUGUUCCUCUGAUUGCAGUAAACCCGAAAUGAGUAGUGUCGUUCAGUGGAAGCUUUUCCCUUUUGCUCUUUUUCUUGCACUGGCUCCACCCAGACGCCUUGUUUUUUGCUGUAUAGACUACAACGGCUGACACGAUGAUCUGUCAGAGCAACAAAAUGAUUUAUCAUAGUUUAAUAAAAAUCUAUGAUGGCACUAUAUAAGGUUAAAUGUUUUCAUUUGAUUUUAUGUUCUUUUAGUUUGUUACUUAAAAGGAGAGAGAAUCUUUCAUUCUACAGUCACGUCAUAUCGGUACGUUUCAUAAAAAUAAUCGGGUCUUUACCAAGGUCUUCAUAUCAUUUAAAUACAGUCUCAGGUGUGAGUGUGUGAGUGUGUGAGACUCAUUACAGCUGCUUAAUUAUUUACAAAAAUAAGCCAAAGUGCAGCAGUGUGUGGAAAAACUAAGGACUUGCUGCUUUCAAAGAAGUGAAGAGGGUAAUGUAGCAGCUAGGUGCUGCUAAGCAAAGGCAUUUGAUUUACUGAUUAUCCAGAAAUGUGAGCAUCUCUGCAUAAAGGAAAGAAGCAACUGCUGUUGGGAAGGAAUAUGUAGCUACUUCCAAAAACUCAAACUUCCAACUUUCCAGACUGGGAUUAUUUAUAAGUGGAAAAAACAUUUGGGACAGGUGCCAGUCUGUCUUGGAGUGGACGUUUGAGCAAAUUCAGACUGAGGUCAAACCAUGCAGUUCUAAGAGAAACCACGACCAAAGACAUGAGCGCUACGUUUCAGGCCUGAGUUGAUGUUAAAGUUUAU